GACGGAGGGGGCUAGCGUUGUUCGGAAUUACUGGGCGUAAAGAGCGCGUAGGCGGUUUGAUAAGUUGGAAGUGAAAGCCCGGGGCUUAACCUCGGAAUUGCUUUCAAAACUGUCAAUCUAGAGUGUAGUAGGGGAUGAUGGAAUUCCUAGUGUAGAGGUGAAAUUCUUAGAUAUUAGGAGGAACACCGGUGGCGAAGGCGGUCAUCUGGGCUACAACUGACGCUAAUGCGCGAAAGCGUGGGGAGCAAACAGG
rnacentral:rRNA from 1 species